rnacentral:rRNA from 1 species
UACGUAGGGGGCUAGCGUUGUCCGGAAUCAUUGGGCGUAAAGCGCGCGUAGGCGGCCCGGUAAGUCCGCUCUGAAAGUCCAGGGCUCAACCCUGGAAAGCGGGUGGAUACUGCCGGGCUAGAAUCCGGAAGAGGCGAGUGGAAUUCCUGGUGUAGCGGUGGAAAGCGCAGAUAUCAGGAGGAACACCGAUGGCGAAGGCAGCCCCCUGGGCUAACACUGACGCUCAGGCACGAAAGCGUGGGGAGCAAACAGG